UACAAGUGUAUGAAGUUUACAAGUUGCUAAGGAAUGCUUCAAAUGAGCUCCCAUGAUCCUAUUUAUAGUAGUUGCAAGACUAUCUAGAGUAUUCUUAAUCUAGAAUACUCUUUAACAAAAUAUCAAGCCUAAAUAUCUAAGAUAUUUCAUUCAUAAAUAUCCAGAUAUUUACUAAGUAUCUAGAGUGUUCUGGUAAUUUUUGGUCUUUCCCUAUUGCCUCCAAGUUGCUGGAAAAAAUACGGAUGGUCCGGAGUCCCGAGCAGCUCUUGAAGGCGUGUAGUGGUCCGCCCGGAAGGUUCUAGAACACUGAAUUUGGGCUGAUUUAGCGGGGCGUGACACGUAG
rnacentral:lncRNA from 1 species